CCCAUCAACCAUAAAGUUAACCAGAACUGUUGCCUGGGCUUUAUUGCCAAAUUCCCAGUACCCAGAUACCGCAACGCUGAAGAAAGUUGUGAUUACAACAGCAUAACUCACACAGUCCUUUAAACAUUUUCCCCUUGAGGUGGAGGACCCUUUAAACAUUUUCCCCUUGAGGUGGAGGACCUAUAGUUGCCUUCAAAUAGAGUAUAUUUUUGACAGUUUAUUCCUUAAUGCACAGUUCCGUCUGGCCUGGAAAGAAAGUAAAUGAACUGCCAACGCAGGAAACAGCCACCGCAAAAUCAAUGAGGCGAAUAAUCAUCAUCUGGUUUUGCAGAGCAAACUAUGUUAAAACAUGUCCUUUGAUACAAAAUCAUGCAUCCAUGGUUAUGAAGAGAGAUAUUUGAAGCUUA
rnacentral:lncRNA from 1 species